UACGUAGGGUGCGAGCGUUGUCCGGAAUUAUUGGGCGUAAAGGGCUCGUAGGCGGUUUGUCGCGUCGGGAGUGAAAACCAGGUGCUUAACACCUGGCUUGCUUUCGAUACGGGCAGACUAGAGGUAUGCAGGGGAGAACGGAAUUCCUGGUGUAGCGGUGAAAUGCGCAGAUAUCAGGAGGAACACCGGUGGCGAAGGCGGUCUCUGGGCAUGACCUGACGCUGAGGAGCGAAAAGUGUGGGGGGAGCGAACAGG
rnacentral:rRNA from 1 species